CCUUCGAUAGCUCAGUUGGUAGAGCGGAGGACUGUAGUGAGUGAGCUGUGGCAAUCCUUAGGUCGCUGGUUCGAUUCCGGCUCGAAGGA
rfam:Ovis aries breed Texel chromosome 3, whole genome shotgun sequence.